GCCCUCGUGGCGGAAUUGGCAUACGCGUACGCUUUAGGAGCGUAUUCCUUACGGAUUAGAGGUUCAAAUCCUCUCGAGGGCA
rnacentral:tRNA from 1 species